AGAGUUUGAUCCUGGCUCAGAUUGAACGCUGGCGGCAUGCCUUACACAUGCAAGUCGAACGGCAUCACGGGGGCAACCCUGGUGGCGAGUGGCGAACGGGUGAGUAAUACAUCGGAACGUGUCCUGUAGUGGGGGAUAGCCCGGCGAAAGCCGGAUUAAUACCGCAUACGAUCUACGGAAGAAAGCGGGGGAUCCUUCGGGACCUCGCGCUAUAGGGGCGGCCGAUGGCAGAUUAGCUAGUUGGUGGGGUAAAGGCCUACCAAGGCGACGAUCUGUAGCUGGUCUGAGAGGACGACCAGCCACACUGGGACUGAGACACGGCCCAGACUCCUACGGGAGGCAGCAGUGGGGAAUUUUGGACAAUGGGGGAAACCCUGAUCCAGCAAUGCCGCGUGUGUGAAGAAGGCCUUCGGGUUGUAAAGCACUUUUGUCCGGAAAGAAAACUUCUGCCCUAAUACGGCGGGAGGAUGACGGUACCGGGAAGAAUAAGCACCGGCUAACUACGUGCCAGCAGCCGCGGUAAUACGUAGGGUGCGAGCGUUWAUCGGAAUUACUGGGCGUAAAGCGUGCGCAGGCGGUUCGUUAAGACAGAUGUGAAAUCCCCGGGCUUAACCUGGGAACUGCAUUUGUGACUGGCGAGCUAGAGUAUGGCAGAGGGGGGUAGAAUUCCACGUGUAGCAGUGAAAUGCGUAGAGAUGUGGAGGAAUACCGAUGGCGAAGGCAGCCCCCUGGGCCAAUACUGACGCUCAUGCACGAAAGCGUGGGGAGCAAACAGGAUUAGAUACCCUGGUAGUCCACGCCCUAAACGAUGUCAACUAGUUGUUGGGUCUUCAUUGACUUAGUAACGUAGCUAACGCGUGAAGUUGACCGCCUGGGGAGUACGGUCGCAAGAUUAAAACUCAAAGGAAUUGACGGGGACCCGCACAAGCGGUGGAUGAUGUGGAUUAAUUCGAUGCAACGCGAAAAACCUUACCUACCCUUGACAUGGUCGGAACCCUGCUGAAAGGUGGGGGUGCUCGAAAGAGAACCGAUACACAGGUGCUGCAUGGCUGUCGUCAGCUCGUG
rnacentral:rRNA from 1 species